ensembl:lncRNA
UGUCAGCCAGAGAAACGAGGGAAGUAGCAUGCUAAGAGGAAGAGAAAACCAGGAUAAAACCUCGGAGUUUACCUGUGAAAAGGAAAAAAAACAGUUGGAGCACUUACCCAGUGGAGGUCCGGAGCCAAGUGACUGAACGAAGGAGAGAGUUACGCAGGCUAACCACUUGCCUUUCACCCAGAGAGCCGCAGCAAGGUCCGACAUCAGCGUGCUCCGCCUUGAUACACAGAGAGUAACGUUCCUGAAGUGACCACAUGGGCAGAGCCAAGGCGGAGUCUGGGUGGAGUCAGGGCGGAGAGUAGGCGGGGAGG